GGGGGGGGGGGGGGGGGGGGGGGGCGCGGGCAAGUGGGGCGGGGAGGCCCGGCGGGUGUGGGGUGCGCGGGUGGCGGACGGGUGAGUAACACGUGAGUAACCUGCCCUUGACUGUGGGAUAACUUCAGGAAACUGGGGCUAAUACCGGAUAGGAGCUCCUGCUGCAUGGUGGGGGUUGGACCGUUUCGGCGGUUGGGGAUGGACUCGCGGCUUAUCAGCUUGUUGGUGGGGUCGUGGCUUACCAAGGCUUUGACGGGUAGCCGGCCUGAGAGGGUGACCGGCCACAUUGGGACUGAGAUACGGCCCAGACUCCUACGGGAGGCAGCAGUGGGGAAUAUUGCACAAUGGGCGGAAGCCUGAUGCAGCAACGCCGCGUGCGGGAUGACGGCCUUCGGGUUGUAAACCGCUUUCGCCUGUGACGAAGCGUGAGUGACGGUAAUGGGUAAAGAAGCACCGGCUAACUACGUG
rnacentral:rRNA from 1 species